UGCAAUCCAUCAUUCCAGCUC
rnacentral:siRNA from 1 species